rnacentral:lncRNA from 1 species
GAAGAGAUGAGUAUUCGGAGGAUGGCUCGAGAAAGGGGUAAAUAUGGAAUUUUUACCACGCCACCCGCGCAAAUUUCGAAAAGAGCGGUUGCCCAUGGGCGUUCUAAUCGAAAAAAUGCAAUCAUCAAGGAGAAGAUUUUGGGAGCGGAAAGGUUUUUCCCGCAUUUAUUGUUACGUCUCUUCCGGAGGAAGGAAUCGGAGUUGAAAAAAUU